UCUGUUUUGACUCACUGAAGAAAUGUUACAUAUUUCAGCUGCAGCUUUAUUGUUCUUUGGGGCAGGUUUCCUUCAAGAUAUGUUUUCGAUAGCAGCUAUACAGGUUCAUCCAGGACAAAAUGUCACGAUGUGGUGUGAACACAAUAUUUAUGUUUCUGGAAAUCUGUACUGGUUCAAACAAACAGACGAUGAAGUGCCCAUUGCUAUUGUGUGGAUGUUAUACACCCAAAGUCUUCAGAAAGUUGAGCCAAAUUAUUUAAAAAAUUUCACAAAAGACCACAUGGUUAUGAAUCUGUUCAGCAAGACCACCAGACUAGUAAUUAAGAAUGUUAAAGUAACAGAUUCUGGAUUCUACUUUUGCGGAGAGGCGGGAUAUUACAUGAAAUUUGGCGGUGGAACCAGACUUGAAGUGAAAGGGAACACAGAAGACAGAAGCAUAACAAAGUCACCAAAUGUCAAGAGCAACAGCGAGAUGACAAGGAAGAUGAUUCAGUAGAAUAUGCUGCAGUGUAUUUCUCAAAUAAGAGACCCAAAACAGCAGGACGACAUACUGAGUAUACUACUGCUGUGUACGCUGAUGCUACCUGAAACGUGAAACUAACUCAAACAUAUUAUUAAUUUAUUAUUUAUGGUUUUUGUUUAACAGCCAGAUAGUAUCACUAUUUCAAGAAAUGUAAUUCAAAGAUCUGCCUUUCCUUUGCAUUGCUGUACAUAACGGUCAUGUUUAUUAAAAUUGUGUUGCAGUUUA